rnacentral:rRNA from 1 species
GCGAGUGAAGCGGGCAACAGCUCAAAUUUGAAAUCUGGCCUCGGCCCGAGUUGUAAUUUGUAGAGGAUGCUUCGGGCGAGGCGCCUUCCGAGUCUCCUGGAACGGCGCGCCACAGAGGGUGAGAGCCCCGUAUGGUUGGACGCCAAGCCUGUGUGAAGCUCCUUCGACGAGUCGAGUAGUUUGGGAAUGCUGCUCAAAAUGGGAGGUAAACACCUUCUAAAGCUAAAUACCGGCCAGAGACCGAUAGCGCACAAGUAGAGUGAUCGAAAGAUGAAAAGCACUUUGAAAAGAGGGUCAAACAGUACGUGAAAUUGCUGAAGGGGAAGCGCUUGUGACCAGACUUGCGCCCGGCGGCUCAACCGGCGUUCUCGCCGGCCCCGUACCGCCGGGCUCAGGCCAGCGUCGGUUUCCGACGGGGGAUAAAGGCGUCGGGGACGUGGCUCCUCCGGGAGUGUUAUAACCCGACGCGUAAUACCCCGACGGGGACCGAGGUUCGCGCUCCGCAAGGACGCUGGCGUAAUGGUCACCAGCGACCCGUCUUGAAACACGGACCAAGGAGUCGAGGUUUUGCGCGAGUGUUUGGGUGUCAAACCCGCACGCGUAAUGAAAGUGAACGUAGGUGAGAGCUUCGGCGCAUCAUCGACCGAUCCUGAUGUUCUCGGAUGGAUUUGAGUAAGAGCGUAAUGCCUCGGACCCGAAAGAUGGUGAACUAUGCUUGUAUAGGGUGAAGCCAGAGGAAACUCUGGUGGAGGCUCGCAGCGGUUCUGACGUGCAAAUCGAUCGUCAAAUAUGAGCAUG